rnacentral:rRNA from 1 species
GACGAACGCUGGCGGCGUGCCUAAUACAUGCAAGUCGAGCGGAACUGGGGGAGCUUGCUCCUUCCAGUUUAGCGGCGGACGGGUGAGUAACACGUGGGCAACCUGCCCUGCAGAUCGGGAUAACUCCGGGAAACCGGUGCUAAUACCGAAUAGUUUGGCGCCUCUCCUGAGGCGCCACGGAAAGACGGUUUCGGCUGUCACUGCAGGAUGGGCCCGCGGCGCAUUAGCUAGUUGGUGGGGUAACGGCCCACCAAGGCGACGAUGCGUAGCCGACCGGGGAGGGUGACCGGCCACACUGGGACUGAGACACGGCCCAGACUCCUACGGGAGGCAGCAGUAGGGAAUCUUCCGCAAUGGACGCAAGUCUGACGGAGCAACGCCGCGUGAGUGACGAAGGUUUUCGGAUCGUAAAACUCUGUUGUGAGGGAAGAACACGUACCAACUAACUAUUGGUACCUUGACGGUACCCCACCAGAAAGCCACGGCUAACUACGUGCCUGCAGCCGCCGCAG